GAAGGGGCUGGGGACCGGGAGCCGCGCUCGGGGUGAGCGGGCCGUCGCGUUCAUUUCCAUAAGAAAGCUGAAAUCGCGGUUGGAGGGAGGACUCCUCGCCCCUGCUGCCCUCCCCCUACACCCGGCUUUCAGCAGGAGCGGGCUCGGGAGCGCAGAGCCCUAACGUGCGCUCCGCUCUUUGAUGGUAUUGAUAAAACGUGGCUUCAAGUGUCGCCCCGACUGAGGCCGCUUUCCUGCCUGUGAGGAGUGGAAGCUCCGCGCGGUUGCCUGCAAAUGGCUCCCCUUUACUGAUUCUGGACCACCUGUACUUGCCCGUGAAACCAAACCAGGUCGUGAAUACAGCACCAAUCAGAUCAAGCAAUCAAAUACCAAUUAUGCCUAUUAAUGACUUUAUUACUAAUGAUUGGAGUUAAGGACGCCAAACCUGCUCAAGAGUUAAUUGCCCUGCAGCGAGGCCAUCUGACACCUCAGCCAAGGAAUACAGCAGAGAAGGAAUCCUCCACAGGGGGACCACAUCACCUGGGUCUGAGAGGACUGCUUCCUCAGGAAACCUUUCCUGGGAAUCUGGUGAGAGUUGGAGGCAAGUUUCCUGCACUUAGAACUUGUUCGGAAAUUGACAUCUAAAGAGGAGAGAAGCACUUUGUCACCCAGACUGGGCCCCUACGGCAUCAGAAAACCUUUCCACUCUUGGUGAACCCCUGAGACUGCCCCCCCACCCAAGAGGCCCCUUCACAUUGUUCGAUGUCAGUGUCCUGCUUGCUUUCCUUGGAAAGGUCAUGGGGACUCAGACACCCGCCAACCCCACGGGCUCCGGCUUCUCCAGCGCUCUCCCUUUCGCCCAGCAGGGAGGCUUGUGGAGCGCUUCUGGGUCUGCAUUGCCAGACCAGACUGCAGCCCAUGACCUUCCCGGGGCCAACCAAGGGCGAGGUAUGUUGCCCAACAAGACCACAGCCUCACCGGGCCGCCCAGGAACAACCACCGACAAAGGCUCUGCGGGCCCUGGCGCAGCCACCCACCCAUGCCCGCGGGGCCUGCAGGAGUGCUGGGGCCGAGGCUGCAAAGCUGGGUAGCCAGCCCCACACCAUUGACAGCCCAGGCACGUUUGCGGAACCCAGGGGAACAAUCAACGGACUCUAUGUCCCGGGAGCUGGGGAUACGCCUGUAAGAGUGUGAUGUUCCAGCCCAACUCAAUGGGCUUGCCUUCUCCUGAGAGGCAGUCCUGGAGGACAGAACUAAUGUGCCAUCUCCCAGGAAGCUCUUCAUCAGAAUAUCCCUUGUCCUUUUGUUUUUGUGUUAAAAAAGUGUUUUUACUUUCUCUGAGUGUCUGUCCUGUUAUUUUGUAACUACAACAAUGAAAUGUGGACGACAGUUGAUAUAAUUCUUGUGGUCCUUUGUAAACAUGCUUCAUAUUGGGGCCUCACACAGUCCCAGCCAUACCUCAGGUGUGUCCUGUGCUCUUGACAUUCACUCACGACUCAGGAGUCACCCAGAGAUUAACACUUCCUUCUGCCUUCCUCUGGACAGCUCUCUCCCAAACAAUGCUCCUUUCCCAACUCAUAGGGGAAGGGGAUUCAGUUAGAGAAAGCUUUCUGAAUUAAAAAAGAUGAGCCUCAGGUUCUCCAGGUAAUUGAUACUGGCUUACACUGGUGGCUAGGAAGCCAUGCCAGCAUCUCCCUAGGUAUAACUCCUCUCAGGA
ensembl:lncRNA